rnacentral:rRNA from 1 species
AUGAACGCUGGCGGCGUGCCUAAUACAUGCAAGUCGAGCGAACGGACGAGAAGCUUGCUUCUCUGAUGUUAGCGGCGGACGGGUGAGUAACACGUGGAUAACCUACCUAUAAGACUGGGAUAACUUCGGGAAACCGUAGCUAAUACCGGAUAAUAUUUUGAACCGCAUGGUUCAAAAGUGAAAGACGGUCUUGCUGUCACUUAUAGAUGGAUCCGCGCUGCAUUAGCUAGUUGGUAAGGUAACGGCUUACCAAGGCAACGAUGCAUAGCCGACCUGAGAGGGUGAUCGGCCACACUGGAACUGAGACACGGUCCAGACUCCUACGGGAGGCAGCAGUAGGGAAUCUUCCGCAAUGGGCGAAAGCCUGACGGAGCGACGCCGCGUGAGUGAUGAAGGUCUUCGGAUCGUAAAACUCUGUUAUUAGGGAAGAACAUAUGUGUAAGUAACUGUGCACAUCUUGACGGUACCUAAUCAGAAAGCCACGGCUAACUACGUG